rnacentral:tmRNA from 1 species
GGGGGCGACACGGUUUCGACGGGGCUUACCGAGAACGAGGUUGCGCGUCGCGGACGCAGCUGGCCGCGUCAUCAAGCUGCAACGCCACUUACCUGGCAACCAGAACUACGCUCUCGCGGCGUAAUACCCGCGACGUCACCCGGAAACCCCGCCUGCGGUUCGCCGGUUCUGACGACCUGAAGUAGGCUAGGGCCGGGGUGCUAGCGUCCGCCCCGCUCCGAACCGAUAGGCGCGUACGCGCGCGGUGUCGCCGGCCGUCGAGCCUGCCGCGCGCCGACAAUCGAUCGACGGAUACACGCGUAGACGCCCGUUCGACGGAGUCUCGGACGCGGGUUCGACUCCCGCCGCCUCCACCA